UACAGAGGGUGCAAGCGUUGUUCGGAAUCAUUGGGCGUAAAGCGCACGUAGGCGGCCUGCUAAGUCAGGUGUGAAAGCCCAGGGCUCAACCCUGGAAGUGCACUUGAAACUGGCGAGCUUGAAUGUCGGAGAGGGUGGUGGAAUUCCGAGUGUAGAGGUGAAAUUCGUAGAUAUUCGGAGGAACACCAGUGGCGAAGGCGACCACCUGGACGAACAUUGACGCUGAGGUGCGAAAGCGUGGGGAGCAAACAGG
rnacentral:rRNA from 1 species